GCAGCCGCGGUAAUACGGGGGAUGCAAGCGUUAUCCGGAUUUAUUGGGUUUAAAGGGUGCGUAGGCGGUGAAUUAAGUCAGCGGUGAAAUUUAGGGGCUCAACCUCUACCGUGCCGUUGAUACUGGUUCGCUGGAAUGCGGAUGCCGUGGGAGGAAUGUGUGGUGUAGCGGUGAAAUGCAUAGAUAUCACACAGAACACCGAUUGCGAAGGCAUCUCACGAAUCCGCAAUUGACGCUGAGGCACGAAAGCGUGGGGAUCAAACAGGAUUAGAUACCCC
rnacentral:rRNA from 1 species